rnacentral:misc_RNA from 1 species
UUUCCGUAGGUGAACCUGCGGAAGGAUCAUUAAAGAGAAUAUGCCCUACGGGGUAGAUCUCCCACCCUUUGUUUAUAUUACCUUUGUUGCUUUGGCAGGCCCGUCUUCGGACCACCGGCUUCGGCUGGUCAAUGCUUGCCAGAGGACCCAAAACUCUUAUUAUUAAUGUCGUCUGAGUACUAUAUAAUAGUUAAAACUUUCAACAACGGAUCUCUUGGUUCUG